UUUUGCAUCAUAUUAAUCUUUUAAUCAUAUUUUCAUAUGUUUGAGUAUACAGCAAAAAUGACAAUAUGGGUCAUUCCAGAAUUGGAGGACAUUUUGUCUUACCCAUGUUAUUUCAAAGAAUCCUUGCACAAAAUACUAAAACACACACUUGUUGUGUAAAUUAUACUUGUAUACCCCUUAAAUUGCAUUUUUCUCUUGUCCCACUUUCCCGAUGACCAACUUCAACAUCAAAUAUAACAAUUAAAAUAAGUUUUAAAUCUAUGUUUUUGGUGUGAUGUCGAUAUGUCUCUUGUAAUUAUUAUUACUUAUAUAUAAUCAACAUAUUUAAAAUCAUAUCAGUUAUUCCCUGAAGUUGUGUCCCACAAAAUGCUUGCAGCCCAGUUACCGAAACAUAUUUAGCCUGGCAGAGGCAUAGAAAAAACAGAGUCAGAUGACAGAGAAAAUUACAUAAUCACUCCAUCUGCUAACACCAUGGGUAGACCUAUCUUUUAUUUUUCAGCCUUGAUUGUCACUCCAACCAACUCAACCAUGUUUCUCAUAUUAUCAGAAUAAGAAAAAUUCUGUUUUUAUUUAAAUAGCUAAGUUUGUCUUUGACCUUGACAGUAAUGCUACAUUCCACAGCAUUCCUGAGAAAAAACAUUAGCAUAGUUUUGCAACCCUGUUUCUAUAACUCAAGUAACAGUGUUGAACUACAGUAACAGGGUUGUAUCUCCUUCUGUUCACACAGAAUGGGCUAUCUAUAGUAAACUAAAACCACUUUAAUCCCACACAACCACACAGAAGACCCCAUACACAGCACACCAGAAGUGCAGUGGCACAGUCCAGAGGUAGUAGGGAAAUGGUGUGUCCUGGUGUACGACCACACCGUGUUUCCAGAGAUCCAUCCAAUAAGUGAAAUACCCCAUGUCAGGUGACAUGUAUGCAUAGAGUCGGGGUAAAGCAUUUUUCCUGGCCUUUGAGGUGUGAUCUCCUUUGGUAUCCCUUUGAGGAUGUGUUAGCCGUCAUUCCUCCCCUAGAGAAUGUUACCUCCCGCCACAUGGCCAUCACAAUUGAGGUAUGGGAUACUCUGGCCAGCAAACAAUUAUAUCUGAACAUUAUAAUAUCAGCUUUCUAAAAUAAUGAUCAGUUCAUGAUUAUUUUUUAUAUGCUCAUUCAUUUUAAUGACUGGUUCUCAGCCUACUGUAACGUUUAUUUUCGGUUUGUCCAUUGAAUAUGUGAUCAGAUCCAGUAUGUAUGUAUAAAAUAUUAUUAAUCAAAAUUCCUUUGGUCCUGGAUAUUUAUUUGUCACAUUUAUGUCAUGAUCGACAAUCAAAAGUAAUGUAAUUCAUUCAACCCUGUUACUCUGAUAUGACCAUAUAAUCUUUAUUAAAAUAAUCUUAAAUGAUUUUCUCAGAUCACAAGGGUUUAACCUAUUGUUCUUUUAAUAGUCUGAAUUAUUAUAUGCAUAACAUUUGAUCAAAUAUUUGAAAAUAAACACUGAAAUUAGUAAAAAUAAAUAUAGUAAUAUGAGGCUAUUGGAAAGUUGUGCGGGAUCGAUUUCAAAAGUUGGUUAAAUUAAUAUUAGUCUUACAGUUGUGCUCAAAAGUUUGCAUACCCUUGAAGAAUUGGCAAUAUAUGUACCAUUUGCAAAGAAAACAUUUUGUAAUAGUUGUCUAUGAGGCCCGAAUUCUUGCAGGUGGUAUAGCUGCCCAUUCGUCUUGGCAAAAUGCCUCCAGGUCAUGCAAAUCUUUGGUCAUCUUGUGUGAACCACACGUUUGAGAUCUCCCCAGAGUGGCUUGAUGAUAUUAAAUUCAAGAGGUUGUGAUGGCCACUCCAGAACCUUCACCUUUUUCUGCUGUUACCACUAGAGGGUCAACAUGACAUCAUUGUAGUGCUGGAAAGUCCAAAAGCUUCCCAUGCGCAUCUUUCAUGCAGAAUAAUGCAAAUUGCCUGCCAGUAUUUUCUAAUAACAUGCUGCAUUCAUCUUGCCAUCAAUUUACACAAGAUUCCCUGUGCCUAUAGAGCUCACACACCCCCAAAACAUGCUUCACAGUGGGGAUGGUAUUCUGUUCACUAUAGGACUUGUUGACCCCUCUCCAAACAAUGCUUAUGGUUGUGACCAUAAAGCUCUAGUUUGGUCUUUUCACUCCAAAUUAGAAUGUGCCAGCAGCUUUGAGGCAUUUCAAGGUGUUGUCAGGUAUUUUGUAACCAGGCUUUUUUGUGGCAUUGCCGCAGUAAAGGUUUCUUUAUGGCAUUUCGACCAUGUAGCUCAUUUUUGUUGGUGUCGUCACAUUGUGCUCCUUGAAACUACCACACCAUCUUUUUCCAGAGCAGCCUGUAUUUCUCUUGAGGUUACCUGUGGGUUUUUCUUUGUAUCCCAAACAAUUCUUCUGGCAGUUUUAGCAGAAAUCUUUCUUGGUCUUGUUAUGGAAAUGUCUUGAACUGAUGCAUUCUUAUUGAUUAAUGUAUUGAGUCCCCAUGUUUAGAUAAGAAAAGGAAUGUCGGUUGUGCUGUGGUAAAGCAAGUAUGAGGUGCUGAGGUAAAUGUGAAUCUUUAGCAGGAUGGGGGUAGAUGCAGAACAAUGGGUCUUAGGACAGGAAAGAGGAAGAUACACAACAGGGGGUACGAUGGAUAAGGAACAUGUUAUUGUGGUAUGACCAUGCAGAUUCUUACCUCCACCCAUUCCUCUAUAAGUAUCGAAUGUAUUUCCAAAUGCUUUAGAGACUCCUCGGUUGAUUGUUUGUAAGCGUUUGACGCAUCUCUCUAUUUGCAAAUAAACUUUAUUAUACCAAGAGAAUUUUGUCUCUGUACUUGUCUCUAUCAGAGUUCUGAUUGAUGAAAUUGCCAUCACAGUCUACCUGACCUUGGCUUGGUAUCAAGAGAUCCCAGAAUUUUCCAAUUCUUAAUAAGUGAUUGAACAAUACUGACUGGCAUUUGCAAAACUUUGGAUAUCUUUUCAUAUCCUUUUCCAUCUUUAUAAAGUUCCAUUACCUUGUUACGCAGGUCUUUUGACAGUUCUUUUCUGCACUCCACGGCUCAGUAUCUAGCCUGUUUAGUGCAUCCACGUGGGCGCUAACAAACUCAUUGACUAUUUAUACACAGACACUAAUUGCAAUUUAAAAAGCCACAGGUGUGGGAAAUUCACCUUUAAUUGCCAUUUUCACGUGUGUGUGUGUGUGUCAUCUUGUGUGUCUGUAACAAGGCCAAACAUUCAAGGGUAUGUAAACUUUUGAUCAAGGGUAUGUAAACUUUUGAUCAGGGCCAUUUGGGUGAUUUCUGUUCACUAUGAUUUAAAAAGGAGCCAAACAACUAUGUGAUAAUAAAUGGCUUCAUAUGAUCACUAUCCUUAAAUAAAAGAUUUGCAUGAUCAGUCAUAUUUUCAAAAUCAAUGCCAAAAUUUCACAAUUUAUGCCAGGAUAUUCAAACUUAUGAGCACAACUGUAUCUGAAAUUAAAUGAGUAUUCAAUGUCUUUCUUUACUUAAUAGUAAAGUAUUUAUUAAAUAAAUAUGCUUUUUUCAGGUUCUUGAGAAUUCGUAACAGCUGGGUAUGUUUUUAUUAUUCUGAACACCCUUUUUGGUUAUUUACGGUAAUCAAUGCACCUGGUGGUGGUGGAGGAAGUAGAGUUUAUUAGCUAUUCACCUGCGUGGUUUUAGAGGGGAGAUAGUGGGUGAUGGGGGAGGUCAUAUUUUUGUUGACCGCUAUCUAAACACUGUACUAUCAAAUCGAAUGUCUGAGAAACAAUUAUAGAAUGUUGCAAUACAUGACCUUGUUUGCUUCUCAUGAUAAUAAAACGACAAAAUGCAGUCUUCGGAUUUGUCAUCAUUGAAGCGCGUCUGACAAUUUAGUUUUCCCUGCUCAGCCUCUCGGCCGACAAUUUCUGUGACUCUCAGAUUGUCGCCCACAAGGGUUGUACCAAGCAUACCCCAUGACAAAUAAAACAGCUCAUAAAAAGUGUACUUUUGAUGCCUGAGCUGGACAAAUAUAUUUUUUUGAUGGUUUAUUACCAGUUUUUCCUAAAUACAUAACAGAAAAUUGUGAAAUAUAGGGUUGAAGUGUUGAUUCUUAAAUUGUCCUCCAAUUCUGGAAUGACCCAUAUACACAGUUACAAGCCAUACUAUAAAUGUUACAUACAUAUGAAUGUUUGAUCUACUUUAGGCCAGGAGAGCUUUUACAUCACAACAAAGAAAACCCAAAUCUAUAGUCAUAGCAAAGAUGAAAAGGGACUACACUAACAAUAUUAUGUUUUAACUGGCCAUUGACAAUGUAGGAUUCCAUAGGCAUAUUUACGUAUAUUUUGCAGUGUUGCUUAGUUUGACAUCUACAGUAUAUAAAUAGCACUAGAUCAUUAAAACUUUGAUCUUUCUAUUUUAAGCUAAUGCUGUGUGAUUUGAUUUGCUGUGUGCACAAUGGUUACCCACUGUAUUCGUGAGAUGGACUGGAGUGGCCUAAUUAAUAAUAAAGGAUAUUUGUAUAAAUGCUGUCCAAGUAUCCAAUUCCAGUGCUGAUUUCAUGGCCGCCACGGAAUGAACCCAAAC
ensembl:lncRNA